UACGGAGGGUGCAAGCGUUAUCCGGAUUCACUGGGUUUAAAGGGUGCGUAGGUGGGUCUGAAAGUCAGAGGUGAAAUCUUCGAGCUUAACUCGGAAACUGCCAUUGAUACUCUGGAUCUUGAAUUUUCUGGAGGUUAGCGGAAUAUGUCAUGUAGCGGUGAAAUGCUUAGAUAUGACAUAGAACACCAAUUGCGAAGGCAGCUAACUACGGGAACAUUGACACUGAGGCACGAAAGCGUGGGGAUCAAACAGG
rnacentral:rRNA from 1 species